rnacentral:rRNA from 1 species
AGAGUUUGAUCCUGGCUCAGAGUGAACGCUGGCGGCAUGCCUAACACAUGCAAGUCGAACGGUAACAGGCCCGCAAGGGUGCUGACGAGUGGCGGACGGGGUGAGGAACACAUCGGAAUUUGCCCAGUCGUGGGGGAUAACGUAGGGAAACUUACGCUAAUACCGCAUACGACCGAAAGGUGAAAGCGGGGGAUCGCAAGACCUCGCGCGGAUGGAUAAGCCGAUGUCGGAUUAGCUAGUUGGUGGGGUAAAGGCCUACCAAGGCGACGAUCCGUAGCUGGUCUGAGAGGAUGAUCAGCCACACUGGGACUGAGACACGGCCCAGACUCCUACGGGAGGCAGCAGUGGGGAAUAUUGGACAAUGGGGGCAACCCUGAUCCAGCAAUGCCGCGUGUGUGAAGAAGGCCUUCGGGUUGUAAAGCACUUUUAUCCGGAACGAAACGCGCAGGGUGAAUAUCCUUGCGAACUGACGGUACCGGAGGAAUAAGCACCGGCUAACUUCGUGCCAGCAGCCGCGGUAAUACGAAGGGUGCAAGCGUUACUCGGAAUUACUGGGCGUAAAGGGUGCGUAGGUGGUUUUUUAAGUCCGUUGUGAAAUCCCUGGGCUCAACCUGGGAAUGGCAGUGGAUACUGGAAAGCUAGAGUGCGGUAGAGGGUAGUGGAAUUCCCGGUGUAGCAGUGAAAUGCGUAGAGAUCGGGAGGAACACCAGUGGCGAAGGCGGCUACCUGGACCAGCACUGACACUGAGGCACGAAAGCGUGGGGAGCAAACAGGAUUAGAUACCCUAGUAGUCC